GCCAGCGUGGUGUAAUGGUUUGAGCAUUGGACUAGCCCUCCAGAGACUAGGGUUCAAUUCCCAGCUUGGUCA